rnacentral:lncRNA from 1 species
AAGAGUUCAUUUUGCAAAUAUUUACUCUCUCUUAUCCCACAUACUUUACACUCUCUCACCUUCAUGCAAGAAACAAGAAUAGCGCGCUAGGAAACCGUCGAGUGCAUGAUGGUGGGCAAUGGCGCACCCAAUGACGACCAAAAAGGCCACGGUGGCGCCACCGCCGAAGUUGAAAACAACUCAUCCUAAGGUUAAAUCCAACCCUGAGUUCAAAAUUGAACUCAAAAUCACCAAAAUCAAAUCUCUACCUACCAAAAUAACCUGGAAGAUCCAAAACCCCAAUGUCUAAACCUUAUUGAAAUCAAAGUUUAACAACAAUCAAGCACAAAUUCAAAGGGUGCGAAGCAAUCAACAACAAAUCAGUGAAGAAAAAAAUGAAAGGGUGAAAAACAUCUACCUCUCCAUGUUCAAUGAAGCGAAGAUAAUUCAGGUAAACAACCCUAUAUCCUCUACUUUUUGUUCCUCUGUUCUUUUCUGCUUCUUUUGCUUUAUGAAAUUUCUCCUUCUUUUGAUUGUGUGGUUGUUGACUUCUGCUCUAAUAUUGUUAUGUAGUCGAUUAGGUGUUGCUUGUGUCCUUGGUAUGUGUAUGAAUAUGGUGACUAAGGUUUUUUUGUUUUUCUUUGGAGGCUGCUAAUUUUUCGAAUCCCCCCUCUGCUUUGUGUACUAUUGAUUUAUAUAGCCAUGAUUAGUAUUUAGGAUGAGGUUAAAAGGAAAUGUGAUGAGUUAUGUAUUUGAUGGAAGUUGGAGUGAUGUAGAAGAAUCAAAAUGUAUUUGUUGUGUUUUUUUUUCGUUUUUAUGAAAUUCUUUGUUGUACCAUAUGUUGCUUUGUCCCUCACAAUACUCUCUUUUUUUUAAAUUUGAAUAAGGAAACUAUUAUUGCUGUAAAAUCGACCACCACCAUCUUUUUACUGUUGUUAAUUUUUGUUUUUGUUUUGGAUUUGUUUGGUUUAGGUUGAUAUGGAUUAGGAGAAAAGAUAUUAGCCUUGCCUUGCUUGCAUAAAUCCCUUUUUUGUGUUUGCUACAAACUUUGAACAUGGGUUGGGAUUGUUUUUUUCUAACUGAAAUCUCUUUCUUUCUUGUUAGGUUCUUGAAUGAGAAUGGACAUGGCUAUAAGAGGGAGAUUUUGGUGAUGAUUUGAAGACUUUGAAGGUGAACCAAAAGUUGUAGAUAGUGCUUGGAAUGGAAGCUUUGAAGACCCUUUUUAGAAUUAUGUUUGGUUAUUGAAACUUGUAAUGUAUAUUCAUGGAUGCACCAAAUCCACCUCACGCAAAAAAAAUGUUAAUUUUCAAUCUUUUCAAGAAUUCUACUUAUGAUGUAACAAAAAUCUAAACAACAUACUCUAGAAAUAAAUGGUAUUGAAAUCAACUUGAAUUAUUUGAGUAUGAGUCAAAAGAAAAUAUGGAAAACCAAAGAUGCACCAAAUUCAAAGUUAA